UGCAGGUUUCGCAGCUAUGGCUCCCUUCCCUCUCGCUCCAUUUUGUUUCUGCUGACCUCGGCGUUUCCUUGGUUUUUAUUCUUAGAUCGUUGCUGCAACAGCUCCCCUUGUUCUUAAUAUCCAUUUCGUCCUCCUGACCCAUGAGCUUGGACACGAUCGGGGAUGCCGUUGUGUCUGAGGGGGCCCGAGUGCUGGUGGAUCUUUGAAUCCUAAGAAAUUUUUUUGAGUCCGAAACUAUGCGCAGCAUUGAUUGUUUCGCGGGUCCGGUACUUGAAGUAGAAUAACUGCGAAAGCGGAGAGUUACGAAUUUUCCUCAUAUAACUCUGAGGAAGAGUGUACUGGCAAUUUUUUAUUGCAUUCAAUCCGAGAUUAAAGUGAAGAAAAAAUAAAAAAAUAAAAAUCCAGCGAAGGAUUUGAAAUUUGAGUUCCAGUUUCCACAAACUUAGAGAUUUAAAUUUUCAGGUUAAAAUUAUUAUGGUUAUUGAUCGAGUAGCUUUUGAGCCGUGGCCAUAAUAUUUGUUAAGUGGAGGGCCUAAUGGAAGUUUAAGGGAAUGAUCUAGAAGGGAGCCCUGUCCGAAGUGGUUUUCAUUGAAUGCUGCGGAGUCCUGUUCCGACAAGAGGUAUAAUCAUCUUCUGUGUAGGUUAACAUCAACUCUAAUUCACAAGCAUGAUCAUCUUGCCUCAAAGGCACGUGAAUUGUAACGACAUUUCCAUGUUUGGAGAAUGUUUUGGUUCAAUGGGCAGGUUUAAGAGGUACUGAUUUCAGCGUCAAAGCGGUCUUUCAUGGUGGUGAACAGGUUGCAUUCAUUGGAACCGAAAUAACAUUGGAGGUUUUUUAAACCAUUUACAUGCGCGGUUCCAUCAAGGUUGGUAAAAUAGAAGUUUCCACCCCCCAAAACUUAUGAAGUAGUGAAUACAUUGUGUGUAGUAGAUAGGUUUUGUGAGUUUCUUUAGUGUGUAGGGUGUAGUUGAGGCUGAUGUGUUGCAGUACGUGUUUAUAUUACGCUUGUCUUGUUUUUGCAUAAUCAUUGAUGGUUCCCGAGGUGGAUAAUCAGUCCAGACGGUUGUUGUUAAGGAGGUGAUUUUGGCAGCCGUAAACUUCUUCAAUCUAGUAAUCUUGUUGGGCUGCAGGAGAAGGAAACAACAUACUUAUUUUUUGUGUGCUCCUUGAUUGGAAUUGAUUCCAAUGAAGGCGUGCCCGCUGGUACUCACGUCUCUGAAGUCUAGGUCUUCGGUAUUUCUUUCCUCCCUUAAGUCAAGUUUACAUGAUUCUUCAUUUCGACCUUGCAAGGAGCAUUUUAUCGUGGAAGACACUCGAUGGUAGAUUUCACAAUAAUCUGAAUAUCUAUCCUGUCAAUCUCCAUGGAUAACAUGAGUUUGCUUCUUGUCCCAUACAUUUGAGAUUCCGUUAGUUGAAAAGUUCCUUAUCUGGUUCUUUUUUCUUACUUACUAUUAGGCGGUGGUACCUGUUCAGUGUUAUAGGUAAUGAUGUGCCACAUGUAUUCAGAUCCGGGGUAAAUGAAAAGAGGCCAAUAAUCUGUAGCGAGUGGAUGUGAAGUUUUAUAACUCCAAUCGAAUACGCAGGCAGACUUCUCUAAGUGAAGUUUAUCUAGAUCCAUUCGUGGAGAUUCUUCAGAAACCCUCCAGUUAACUCUAUUCGCAAGACUAUCAGGAAACUGCAGUGGCUGCCUUGCAUCAAUUCAAAUAAAGAGACCUCAUUUACAGCACUGCACCUUUUGCUUCAUCAAUCUUGAAAACGACACAACAACAUUUCCGCGCUACACCAAAAAACAAGUCUCUUGCCACAUAUACACAACAGGGGAACGAUUGCGAAGGGUCCUUAGACAUAUGUCUGCAACCGCGGACCUUGGAGGAGAACGGGCUCUUCCGUAGCGUCGCAGCUGCUUCACCGUCCCUGCCUCACGCGUGUUGGACAAUUGUAGGUGAGCCGCUUCUAUUCUUAAAUUUUGCUUUUGUAAGUAAGCAAUGCAGAAAUGUGUUGGUGAUGCUGCUGUUGCUAAUACAAACUCAAGAGAGAUUUUUAUUUGAGCACAAGAUGUUACAUACAGAAUGAGAGUUUACCCAUUGCAGUAAACAAUACUAUGGUAAAAUUAAGAAUCCAAUUUUACCUAAUCCUAAUGUUGACAUGGAUUGGAUGUGUUGAAAACCAAUAAUCACAUGGAGGAGGACUGGAUGUUGGUGGAUGAUCAAGGACACAUGUUGGAUAUCACCAAUAUCUUCCCUCAACUUGUACUUGUGUUUGUCACCUUGUAAUGGCCUGUGGUUGUGUUGCUCCACUCAAAACACUUGCACUGCUACAAGUCGUGGUUGAGGAUUUGACAUUGGCUAGCCUUGUCAUUUUUGCUUUGCAUUCCAUUUAGUAUAUCUCUUCUCUAUGCCCACUACCUCAAGGUUGUUAUUUUGUUUUUGUUUUGUUUAAUUCCAGCUCUUUGCUCUUAUAAGGUGACAAUGAUGAUCCUUUGUCAUAUGUAUAGAUCAUCAUUUUGCUUUGUUAUUUCAUGGUUGAUGUUGUCUUUGUUGCAUGAGUGUUGUAAAGAUAGCAAGGAGAAUUUCUAACUCAAGGAAGUGACUCUUCUUAGGAUUCAAUUGAGAGAUGCUUCAAUGUUGAGUAAUUCUUUGAAGGCAUUAUCAAUCAAGUAUUCCAUUGUUUAUUGUAGAUAUAAGACUUGAGUAUACAUGUUAUGGCUUGAAUAUAGAGCUUACAUGUAGGGCUACAAAAAUGCAAUAUUAAAGAGCUUUAAGAUACAAAUAAAGGCAAAGGGGAGUUUCUUUAGUAAGAAAGCUAAGUUCAUAUCAUUUAGCAUUCCCUAGGAUUGAGAUUUUUGAAUUAUAUGUAUCUAAGUUAGUACUUUCUU